CCUUUUGUAUAAUGGGUCAGCGACUUAUAUUCUGUAGCAAGGUUAACCGAAUAGGGGAGCCGAAGGGAAACCGAGUCUUAACUGGGCGUUAAGUUGCAGGGUAUAGACCCGAAACCCGGUGAUCUAGCCAUGGGCAGGUUGAAGGUUGGGUAACACUAACUGGAGGACCGAACCGACUAAUGUUGAAAAAUUAGCGGAUGACUUGUGGCUGGGGGUGAAAGGCCAAUCAAACCGGGAGAUAGCUGGUUCUCCCCGAAAGCUAUUUAGGUAGCGCCUCGUGAAUUCAUCUCCGGGGGUAGAGCACUGUUUCGGCAAGGGGGUCAUCCCGACUUACCAACCCGAUGCAAACUGCGAAUACCGGAGAAUGUUAUCACGGGAGACACACGGCGGGUGCUAACGUCCGUCGUGAAGAGGGAAACAACCCAGACCGCCAGCUAAGGUCCCAAAGUCAUGGUUAAGUGGGAAACGAUGUGGGAAGGCCCAGACAGCCAGGAUGUUGGCUUAGAAGCAGCCAUCAUUUAAAGAAAGCGUAAUAGCUCACUGGUCGAGUCGGCCUGCGCGGAAGAUGUAACGGGGCUAAACCAUGCACCGAAGCUGCGGCAGCGACGCUGAUGCGUUGUUGGGUAGGGGAGCGUUCUGUAAGCCUGCGAAGGUGUGCUGUGAGGCAUGCUGGAGGUAUCAGAAGUGCGAAUGCUGACAUAAGUAACGAUAAAGCGGGUGAAAAGCCCGCUCGCCGGAAGACCAAGGGUUCCUGUCCAACGUUAAUCGGGGCAGGGUGAGUCGACCCCUAAGGCGAGGCCGAAAGGCGUAGUCGAUGGGAAACAGGUUAAUAUUCCUGUACUUGGUGUUACUGCGAAGGGGGGACGGAGAAGGCUAUGUUGGCCGGGCGACGGUUGUCCCGGUUUAAGCGUGUAGGCUGGUUUUCCAGGCAAAUCCGGAAAAUCAAGGCUGAGGCGUGAUGACGAGGCACUACGGUGCUGAAGCAACAAAUGCCCUGCUUCCAGGAAAAGCCUCUAAGCAUCAGGUAACAUCAAAUCGUACCCCAAACCGACACAGGUGGUCAGGUAGAGAAUACCAAGGCGCUUGAGAGAACUCGGGUGAAGGAACUAGGCAAAAUGGUGCCGUAACUUCGGGAGAAGG
rnacentral:rRNA from 1 species